AUGGCACCCGACACGCCGACGGCGGCCAAGAGAAGCAAGCAAGCGCCAUGCACGGCGGCCAGCCUGCCGGAAGAGAUCCUGUCCGAGAUCCUGCUGCUUCUCCCGUCCAGGUACAUCCUCCGGUUUCGCGCCGUCUGCCGCUCAUGGGCCGCCCUGCUCUCCUCCCCGGCCUUCAAGGACGUCUACGCCGUCAAGGCCCAUGCCCGUGCCCGGCGCAUGGACAAGUUCGUCGUCUUCGCACCGUCACCCAACGCAAACGGGUCCAUGGCGGUCUACUCCUGCGCCCGAGGCGCCUCCGUCGCGGAUCCUCUCCUUACCGUCGACCGUGUGCGCGUCGACUUCAUGUGCUUGUCGAGCAAGCCCUGCCAUGGCACCAUGCUCUUCUCGGACACCCGCUCCGGCGUCUAUUGGGUGUGUAACCCUAGCACCGGAGAGUGUGUCCCCUUGCCAAAGCAGCGCCGUGGCUUGAUGGAAUCGAGUGCCGGCCUGGUGUACGAUGAUCGGACCAAAGAGCGCAAGGUGGUCCAUCUCUUCAAGGAUAUGACGCAUUUCGGGUGCGAUAUUUACGCGCUCUGCAAUCCUACUCAACAGUGGAGGCCGGCCAACCAGGACGUUCAGCUCUUGGGGUUCAACAUACUAAAAUUCGUCUUGGGAACCGAAGACUCCGUGACAAAGGUACCUCCGGUAUUUGCAAAUGGAUGCGUGCACUGGCUAGCUUACCCGGCAUACAUGGACACCCCGGAUGGCCAGGACGCCAUUCUUUGCUUCUCCGUCGACACGGAAACCUUCACACGGCUCAACGCACCUUCAAGUGUCCACUUGGCAGCAGAGUACAAAGAAUUAGACGAGAACUUGCCAGCGGUCCCAAUGCAUCUAGCGGAGCUAGAAGGCUCGUUGUGCCUGGUCCAUGAUCUCCGCGGACGAGGGCAAGGUAGGAGCUGGCUAGAUGUAUGGAUGCUCAGGGAUCAUGUUGCCAAUGAGUGGUCACUAGACUACCGCAUCGUUGUCACACCUCUUCUUGCACGAGAUGUACAUAGCCCCCGGUUCAUCACUGUGCUCGGCUCCUCUAGUGACGGCGACAGUUGUGCGGGCAAUGAGCAGGAGAAGAAGAAGAUAUUGAUCGCCACGUCACAACACCAGGUCCAUGCUUACGAUCCAAAGGAGGGGGAUAUCCAACUUGUCUUCUCUGCUCCAAAGACUAAUAUCCGGAUCGGCCAAAAGGAGGCAGCUGCCGCGCUUUGGCUUGGUCUCUACGAGGACAAUGUAGUCCAGGUUGAGGGGGCAAAUCGUCGAGAUAAGGAGGUGUUAUCAGCAGUUACCAAGAUCCUAGCGCGACUUCCGGUCAAGUCUAUAGCUCAUUCCAUGUUGGUAUGCAGACAGUGGCGCUCACUCAUUGAGAGUGAGAGUUUUAUUAUAUCACACAUGUCAAUGAAGAGGCCGAAGAGGAUUUUGAUGGCCAGUAAUGGCCGUGCACGGCGUGCUUUCUUUGAAUUUACCUCGGUGGGAAAUUGGCUUCAAGCUGCAAGCCCCGCUCUUGCCGACACUCUUGUCAACGAUAAGGUCAUGUGCUCCAAACCAUGCCACGGGCUCAACUUGAUAAGCACCAACACCGAUGACUUUCUGUGCAACCCAUGCACCGGUGCCAUCAAGUGUCUGGGAAGGCAUGGCAAAUCGCACUUCACAUCGGCUGGACAUCAACGCCGUCACGCAUUUUCGGUUGGUAGAAACAUCGGUUUCGGUUUCGACCAGUCAACUGGAGAGCAUGUGGCCGUCGAGAUAGGCUACAUCAAUGGAACCUUGGCUUGCGUGAUCAAAACGAGCAGCGAGAAGCAGUGGACCUGCAUUGGUAAGCCGCCAAGGAUGGUGAGCGAUAUGCCACCAGCGCAUGUCGAUGGGACACUCUACUGGACGAGCGAGCCCGGACACGAGCGAGUCAUCGUUGCCUUGGACAUCUCCACCCGUGAAUUCAACAUCCUUCCGUGUGAACCAAGCUUGAAGAAUGACCGUCGCCACGCCUUUCUUGUCGAGCUGAAGGGAAUGCUCUCGCUCGUGGCCGUGGACGCUAGUGCGGGAGAGAUGGUCAUAUGGACGAUGCCCAAGAACAUGUCCUCGUGGGUUGGUGCAUACAAGAUAUGCCUCGACGAACAUCCUGAUUAUUCUCUCGCGAAGGGUCAGGUGGUAAUGCCGGUGGAGAUAGACGACGGUAACGAUGGAAGGAUCCUUCUCAACACCGGACGGGCUUUAGGGUACUACGACGCCAAGACAGGAGAGCUGGACAGCAUGUACUCGUUGGACCAACUGAAGCUCCCCCGGAGCAGCUUGGCCUUCCCUGUCUUGUGCCAGGAGAGCCUCGCGCGCAUUCAAGACGACGAACUCCCCAGCCGCGUCGCUCCCUCGGUUUGCGAUGAAGGAUGCAGGCCAUGCGAGCACCCUGAGCACGCUGACACAACGCUAGGGCAAGGACGACUCUUGCUACUCAAGUGUGAGGCCGACGCAUGUCUGGAUGUCGGAGACGUCUACCGGAGCUGCUGCAGGAGGCUGCUUUGCUGGAGUUGCCAAAGCCGCUGCAUCGAGCACUGUCAGACUCAGACAUUUGCACUACGCCCCGAUCCUGUGCUCCCAACUCACGGUCCUAAUUUGGUUUGGAACAGAUUAGGUCCGGACGCUAGCUUGCCUUUUUGCCAUCCGUCCGUGCCAGGUCCAGAGUACUGCUACUAUUUCCCCAUCGUGGAGGGAGAUGUGGUUCGUCAUGUCUUCAUGUCUAUCAGGGAUUACAUUCAAGGGAAGCAGUGGUGUCGUUUUGCCGAGUGUGGAUACAGAACAGAGGGAGAUGCAGUCAAGGAAACGUGGGUUCGGAGGUACCUCAAG
rnacentral:rRNA from 1 species